UUUUUGAAAUGUGAAACAUCUUUGAGAAAAUAAUAUACAUAACACUAUCGGGCUCCUUACGGGCAUGAAAGCCAUCGAAGGAUGUCCAAACACUAUAAAUAAUUUACAAGCUGGCUGCACAGCUGAAAAGGGUCCAUCGCGGGAACCAUAUCUAGAUCCGUUAGUUGGAUCUUAGACCUUGUGUCUCCUAGGCUCACAUGAUUGUUCCAGUUUUGCAUUUUUUGAAUUGGUUAAAAGUUAGAGAUGGCUAGAUUUAGAUAAAUCUAGUCCACGGACUGGAAUAUUAAGGAUUUAUAUUGAAUAAGUAGUUAAAACAGAUAUUUAAAAUCAGUA
rnacentral:lncRNA from 1 species